rnacentral:rRNA from 1 species
GUGCUACAAUGGUCGGUACAAAGGGUUGCCAAGCCGCGAGGUGGAGCUAAUCCCAUAAAACCGAUCGUAGUCCGGAUCGCAGUCUGCAACUCGACUGCGUGAAGUCGGAAUCGCUAGU